UAGAUUUGUUUCUCGUUAAUUGC
rnacentral:siRNA from 1 species